rnacentral:lncRNA from 1 species
CAGUUAUCACAUCUGACCCUCUGCAUGGUCCUGUGACAACAGGAAACACACAAAAAUGUCCCCAUCCUCAUGGGGCCUCUGUUCUGGUUGGGGGUAGAUUAUGUGCACCGUGCCACAUAAGGAUACAUGCUCUGGAGAAAAAUAUAUCAUAAAGGGUCCGUGGAAUCCUACAGAGUUCCAGAGUAGAGUUUUAGAAAUCCGUGUACAGUGUAAAGAAAGCUCUCAUACGAUAGGUGACAUUUUAGCAAGGACAAAAAGAAGCAAGAGGAGAAGCCACAUGUCCCUUUAGAGGACAAGAAACCCAAGUAGAAGGAAGAACAAAUUCAAAGGCCUAGAGGGCAGAGCCGCUCGGCAGACUCAGGAAGAACAGGGUGCUGCAUUUGGAGCGGAGCGAUCACAUAAGAGGUGGGCAGGGAUGGGGGAAGAUGGAAGGCCGGCAGAAAGGAGAAGAAAGCUGGAGGAGGGCUCCGAGCACGGAGUGUCAUGAUCUGAGGGCAAUGAGGAAGCCCCUUCUCCAGGCAUUUGGGAAGGUUAAAUGCCAAAGUGCGGGCAAAGGCCUCGGCUCAGGGGUGCGCACGGACAACCCCAAUUUUAAACUCACACCUGGACAUAUCUGGCACAGGUUGGAUGGAGAACUCCAGCUUCAGAGACUCAAGUUUCUUCACUUUAAAAAAGGAAGAUUAUUGCCAAAGAGGAAUGACACUGAAGAGCAAGAAGAGUAGCAUAGGGUUGAGAGGCCAGCUCGUGAAGAAAUGAGGCACACUCAGAAAAUGGAGAGAGGACCAGAGCGGCUGGCAGCAUUAGCAGGUUGAAGUGGGACGUGGGGCAAGGUCGGAAUGGGAGAAGAUCAAGAAGAAUGAUCUGUGGGGAGAAUGAGAAACCUCUGAAUGGUUUUAUUUGAUCAAGGAAAGGACUUAACCUGAUGUAUGCUCUGAAAACAUCACUGCCGUAUGAGUCAGGGACUGGCAGGUGGCAAGAGAGGAAGCUAGGAGACCUGGAGCCCAGGUGAGCAGUGCUGGUGGCCUGGGUGAGGGUGGAGGCUGCUCAGGUGGGGAGAAGUGGGUGGACUUUUGGCACCUGUAAUGGGGACCAGAAGAUGAGGAACUUGCCACGAAAGAAUGCCACGUGGGUGGAGUCCCCAUCGAAGGUAGCAGGAAAAGCUGGAGGUGAUGGGCAGCGGAGAGAAACUGCUCACCUUUGGACAAGGUGAUCUUAAGGUGCCCUUGAGGAAUCCACAUGGUGAUGUCAAGAAGGCAGCUUUCUUUAGGAGGGAUGCUCAGAAGAGAGCUACCUGGUACUCAGAAGUACCUGGAGAAGAUACUUAGUCUUUCUCAGUCAGUUUCCUCCUCUGUAAAAUGAAUGAAAUAACUUAGAAGGAGAUAAUGAUGUAGAGCUCCUAGCAUAAGACCAAGUGCAUAGUAGGUACUUCACGGUCCUAUGGACUACCCCUUACCUACCUACAUGGCCCCACCUCUUCCUCCUCCCCCUCCCACAGCAAAUACACCCAUGUACACAGGUGGUUCUUUUAUAUCAAAAACGCACAUGUAUUAAUCUGCUAGGCCUUCCAUAAAGUACCAUAAAGUACAGAGUGGCUUAAACAACAAAAAUUUAUUUUCUCACAAUUGUAGAAUCCAGAAGUCCAAGAUGCAGGUGUCGGCAGGAUUGGUUUCUCCUGAGGCCUUUCUCCUUGGCUUGCAGAUGGCCGUCUUCUUCACGUGUCUU